GGCACUUUAAGACACUUAAGUUGGUUUAGUGAUCCAGUUUGGGCACUCGGGCUCAAAAAAGGUUUGCCAUUGCUGCCCUAUACAAGGUCUGUGUGUGUGUGU